rnacentral:rRNA from 1 species
CAGUCGCCGCGGUAAAACGUAGGUGGCAAGCGUUGUCCGGAAUUAUUGGGCGUAAAGGGCUCGCAGGCGGUUUCUUAAGUCUGAUGUGAAAGCCCCCGGCUCAACCGGGGAGGGUCAUUGGAAACUGGGAAACUUGAGUGCAGAAGAGGAGAGUGGAAUUCCACGUGUAGCGGUGAAAUGCGUAGAGAUGUGGAGGAACACCAGUGGCGAAGGCGACUCUCCGGUCUGUAACUGACGCUGAGGAGCGAAAGCGUGGGGAGCGAACAGGAUUAGAUACCCGCGUAGUCCCUGUCUCUUAUAC